rnacentral:tRNA from 1 species
GCCCCCAUAGCUCAGGUGGAUAGAGCGCCGGUUUCCUAAACCGGAGGCCGCACGUUCGAGUCGUGCUGGGGGCACCA